CCCGGGCUCUCCGGGCAAAGAAAGAUCGGGGUCGCCACCUGGUGUCCACAGCCGCCACUGCAGCCGCCGCCGCCGCCUCUGUCCAGGUGGGGUACACCGGGUCCCGGGGGGGUCGCCCUUGUGUUCGUAGAUGUUUGCAGUUCAGUGAUUAACACGUGCCUUGCAGAUAAAAUAGAAAACUCAGAUAAAGCCAGAAGAAAACCAGUCGCCUGGAAUUCCACACCCUUUCUUAAAGUUUGCUGUGCUUUCCUUCUAGACUCUCUCCUCACACAUCCAGAUACUUUUAAAUUUAAGAAGUGACUCCUCCUCCAGAGCUGAUGGCGGGAUUGAGUUAGCACAUGUAGGAGUUCAAGGAACGUCAGCUGGUGUGCGGGCUCAGCCAGGAUGCUGAAGAGGAGGAAACUGAGUCUCAGAGACUAAUGGCAUCGAUGGAGGGCUGCGCCUCUUCAUGAUAUGAUAACAGCAGCGUCACCCACAGCAGACUUUCCCACCCUCGGUGCUGAUGACAUUUAAGCUGGGCCAUUCUUUGUUGAGAAGAGGGUGCUGUCCCGUUGUGCAGUAUGGGGAGCUGAAUCGCAGCUCCCCAGAGAUGUGCACAUUGUAAUCCCGGAAGCUCCGAGUGUGUGUCCCCUCACACGGCCAGAGGGACUCUGCAGCGGGGGAGAGGGUGCUGGGUGAUCCGGGGCCUGCGGCAGUCACUGGGGGGAGGAGGGUCGGAGAGAGCAAGGACUGGCAUCUGCUCCGCUGCCGGCUCUGGGGAAAGGAAGGAGCCUG